rnacentral:rRNA from 1 species
UACAGAGGGCUCAAGCGUUGUUCGGAUUCAUUGGGCGUAAAGGGUGCGUAGGCGGCGCCGUAAGUCGGGUGUGAAAUUUCGGAGCUUAACUCCGAAACUGCAUUCGAUACUGCGGUGCUUGAGGACUGGAGAGGAGACUGGAAUUCAUGGUGUAGCAGUGAAAUGCGUAGAGAUCAUGAGGAAGACCAGUGGCGAAGGCGGGUCUCUGGACAGCUCCUGACGCUGAGGCGCGAAGGCUAGGGGAGCAAACGGG